CAAGCAGGCCUGCAAAGCAGAAGAAUGACAUCCAUCUUGGACCCUAGGCAGCCCAUCGAGCCCCUCCAGCGGGCGAUGAUGGUGGCCAAGGACAGCACACUGGCUACAGCAAUGUUGAACGUCUUUGGUGGCUACAUCAUGGGCUUCGGCUUCUCGCUCUUCGGCUCCAUGAUCUCGGCCGAGACAAGCACGCAGGCGAUGGGAACGGCAGACUUCUUCCGCCACAGCCUGCGCAGCGCUCACCGCCUCGGCGGCAGUUUCGCCUUCUUCGGCUUCUUGUUCGGCGGCAUUGAGGUGGCUUUAGAGAAGCGCCGCGGCCGCAAGGACCAAUGGAAUCCAACGAUUGCCGGCGCUAUCAUUGGUGGCGGGUAUGGGUGGCGCUCCUACAAGCACCCCGGUCUGGCGGCCGGCAUCGUGGGCGGUGCGGCCUUCUCUCUGGUUUUCGAGAAGAUGCUGGAUGCCAUGGGCAUGGCUCAGCACUAAGCGAGGGCCGUUGAAAUGGAGAGCAGCUCGUGGACAACACGAGAGAAGGGUGCGGAUGCUCACGUCAGAGGGCGGCACGAGUGUGGAAAACGCACGCACGCAGGCGCGUGAGGUGCGGUUUUGGCGCGGUGGUGAUUUUGCGCAAUCGCGGCUGUGUCCACGACGUUGGUGAUCGUCCGCCACUAGCCACCCCACAGGCGACUCUCGCAGCCGCUGGCGUGCCCUCUCCUCCUCGUCUAUCCUCUCCCGCCUAUCUCCUCCCCCUCUGUCCUUGCUCACCGUCUUCGCGUGUCUCUCUCGGUGUGUGUGGAGAUGCUCACCCUUGCUGCCGUUGUGAUGUGUUUGGUACUCACAGUCUUCAUCCGUGUAACCCCACCGGCCCAACGGCCGACCUCCUCACCUCUUCGUGCGCCCGGCUGUGCGCCGUUGUCGUUGCCGUCCCCCUUCCUGUCUCUCGCACACACGACUUGAGGACGUCCUCCCCCCACCACCACCCGGAAGCUCCCUUCUUUUCUCGGUAACUGUCUUGCUGACUAACAAACGGAAACGCAAGCGCGAAGGGGUUUUGAGCAGUGGAUGGGUGCGCACCCCUCUCCUCCUCCUCUUCCACCGUCGUGACGGUUUUGAACCAACUGAUUCGCUAAGGACGACGUCCUCUGCAGCGAGGUGGUCAGAAUGACCUUGGGCCGCCGGUGAUCUCCCCCUCUGCGCCAGCAU
rnacentral:misc_RNA from 1 species